GAAUGCUGGCAUAAGUAGCGAGAAAUAAGUGAGAAUCUUAUUGGCCGAAAACCUAAGGUUUCCUGGGGAAGGUUCGUCCGCCCAGGGUUAGUCGGGACCUAAGCCGAGGCCGAAAGGCGUAGGUGAUGGACAAUCGGUUGAUAUUCCGAUACCGCCUAUUUACGUUUGAGAAAUGGGGUGACGCAGUAGGAUAAGAUGUGCGCACUAUUGGAUGUGCGUCUAAGCAUUUAGGCAUGCUUGAUAGGUAAAUCCGUCGAGCUAAGCUGAGGU
rnacentral:rRNA from 1 species